rnacentral:rRNA from 1 species
UACAGAGGUCCCAAGCGUUGUUCGGAUUCACUGGGCGUAAAGGGUGCGCAGGUGGCUGUGUAAGUUUGAUGUGAAAUCUCCGGGCUCAACCCGGAAAUGGCAUUGAAUACUACAUGGCUGGAGGUUUGGAGGGGGGACUGGAAUUCUCGGUGUAGCAGUGAAAUGCGUAGAUAUCGAGAGGAACACCAGUGGCGAAGGCGAGUCCCUGGACAACACCUGACACUGAGGCACGAAAGCUAGGGGGAGCGAACGGG